CCUACGGGUGGCAGCAGUGGGGAAUGUUGCGCAAUGGUCGUAAGAGUGACGCAGCGACGCCGCGUGAAGGACGAAGGCCUGCGGGGCGGAAAGUUCUUUCGACAGGGAAGAAAAUGACGAUAAGUAACGGUGUAUGAAUUGACGGUACCGGCAAAGGAAGAACCGGCUAACUCCGUGCCAGCAGCCGCGGUAAGACGGAGGGUGCGAGCGUUAAUCGGAAUUACUGGGCGUACAGCGCUCGUAGGCGGUAUGUACAGUCAAGGGUGAAAUCCCCGCGCUCACCGUGGGAACUGCCUUUGAAACUGGCAAACUGGAGUGUGUGAGAGGUUAGUGGAAUUCCCGGUGUAGCCGUGACAUCCGUAGAUAUCUGGCGGAACAUCAGUUGCGAAGGCGGCUCUCUGGCACAUAACUGACGCUGAGGCGCGAAAGCGUGGGUAGCAAACAGGAUUAGAUACCCCAGUAGUC
rnacentral:rRNA from 1 species